rnacentral:rRNA from 1 species
GACGAACGCUGGCGGCGUGCUUAACACAUGCAAGUCGAACGAAGAGCGACGGAAGCUUGCUUCUAUCAAUCUUAGUGGCGAACGGGUGAGUAACGCGUAAUCAACCUGCCCUUCAGAGGGGGACAACAGUAGGAAACGACUGCUAAUACCGCAUACGAUCUAACCUCGGCAUCGAGGAUAGAUGAAAGGUGGCCUCUACAUGUAAGCUAUCACUGAAGGAGGGGAGUGCGUCUGAUUAGCUAGGUGGCGGGGUAAGGGCCCACCAAGGCGAGGAUGAGUAGCCGGUCUGAGAGGAUGGACGGCCACAUUGGGACUGUGACACGGCACAGACUCCUACGGGAGGCAGCCAGGGGGAAACUGCCGCAAUGGGCGGAAGUCUGACGGAGAAAGGCCGCGGGAGGGAUGACGGCCGUCGGGUUGGAAAGGUCUGUUAAUCGGGACGAAAGGGCUUCUUGCGAAUAGUAAGAAGGAUUGACGGUACCGGAAUAGAAAGCCACGGCUAACUACGUG